UACGGGGGGAGCAAGCGUUGUUCGGAUUUACUGGGUUUAAAGGGUGCGCAGGCGGAUAUGUAAGUCAGUGGUGAAAUCUCCGGGCUUAACCCGGAAACUGCCGUUGAUACUAUAUAUCUUGAAUGCUGUGGAGGUAAGCAGAAUAUGUCAUGUAGCGGUGAAAUGCUUAGAGAUGACAUAGAAUACCUAUUGCGAAGGCAGCUUACUACGCAGAUAUUGACGCUCAUGCACGAAAGCGUGGGGAUCAAACAGG
rnacentral:rRNA from 1 species